CUUAACAUACCCUCUGUUAGCCUUUACUGAUGCCAGAGAGUAGUCCAUUGAUGAUGAUGAGUUCUUCGCUGCUUCAAUGAAGAGUUGUUGUGUUAUAUGGCUGCUGAUGCUGGUGAUGGUUAGUAAGACCUGUCUGUCAGAACCUCCACCCGCACCUCCGACGGCAAACGACACG